ACGCAUCUCUGGCGGCGAGGGUGUGCCCUGCUCCGGACCGAAAGGCCGUGCAGCGGGCUAUCCCGGACCGCUAAACCUUUGCAAACCCACUGUGCACUUUUGUCGGCAAAGGGCCUUUGCGGGCCCCGAGCCGGAUCACAAACACUUUGUUAAAUGAAUGCAAGCGGACAUUGAGCCGCCUAAACUUUAA
rnacentral:misc_RNA from 1 species